rnacentral:rRNA from 1 species
UACGUAGGGGGCGAGCGUUGUCCGGAUUUAUUGGGCGUAAAGAGCUCGUAGGCGGCUUGGCAAGUCGGGUGUGAAACCUCCAGGCUCAACCUGGAGACGCCACUCGAUACUGCUAUGGCUAGAGUUCGGUAGGGGAGACUGGAAUUCCUGGUGUAGCGGUGAAAUGCGCAGAUAUCAGGAGGAACACCGGUGGCGAAGGCGGGUCUCUGGGCAGUAACUGACGCUGAGGAGCGAAAGCGUGGGGAGCGAACAGG